rnacentral:rRNA from 1 species
GACGUAGGGCGCGAGCGUUGUCCGGAUUUAUUGGGCGUAAAGAGCUCGUAGGCGGCUUGUCGCGUCGACUGUGAAAACCCGCAGCUCAACUGUGGGCUUGCAGCCGAUACGGGCAGGCUAGAGUUCGGUAGGGGAGACUGGAAUUCCUGGUGUAGCGGUGGAAUGCGCAGAUAUCAGGAGGAACACCGAUGGCGAAGGCAGCUCGCUGGGACGGUACUGACGCUGAGGCGCGAAAGCGUGGGGAGCGAACAGG